rnacentral:lncRNA from 1 species
AAGAACAGAAAAUGAAAACUCAUCGGUUCUUCUCUCUCUCUCUUUCAUCUGAAAACUGAUCUGUUCAUCAAUGGAGUUCAAUAAUUUUGACAUGGUAUCAGAGCGGGUAUUCCGAUUCCGAUCGUCACGGGCUACGUCGCGAUGUUACCCUCACUGGGUUUCAUCAAAGUUUUGUCUUCUCUGGCAAAUCUAGGUUUUUUCUCUUUCUCUUUGUUUUCUCUGGUUAUUAUUCAAUAAUCGUUGAUUUUUCUGAGUUUUUUUGAGUCUCACACUUCUCCUCAUCGGUUCAAACAUAGGAUUAAUUCGUUUCCUGAAGUUCUUGUGUAUCUAGGAACAGUUAGGGUUUCCAUCUUACAAGUUACAAGUCUAUCAGUCAAAAAUGGUUAAUGUUGGUGAUACCUCUGAGUCUAGGACUGAUAAUGUUGUCAUUGACCCCUCGAAUCCUUUGUUUCCAGUCAAAAAUGGUUAAUGUUGGUGAUACAUCUGAGUUUAGGACUGAUAAUGUUGUCAUUGACCCCUCGAAUCCUUUGUUUCUCUUGUCUUCUGAUGUCCCGGGAAUAUCUUUGGUAAGCAAUCAUUUUUCAGGGAUUGGUUUUGGGGGAUGGAGACGUAAUAUAAUCGUCUCCCUAUCUGCUAGAAAUAAGAUAGGCUUCAUUGAGGGAAUUAUUCCCAAACCUCCAGAAAACUCUCCUCAGUAUAGACAAUGGGAUAGGUGCAACAACAUUGUUA